GCCCUUGUAGCUCAAUGGACAGAGCACUGCUUUUACGAAGCGGAAGAUGAGGAUUCGAAUUCCUCCAAGGGUGCCA
rnacentral:tRNA from 1 species